UACGAAGGGGGCUAGCGUUGCUCGGAAUCACUGGGCGUAAAGCGCACGUAGGCGGAUCUUUAAGUCAGGGGUGAAAUCCUGGAGCUCAACUCCAGAACUGCCUUUGAUACUGAGGAUCUUGAGUCCGGGAGAGGUGAGUGGAACUCCGAGUGUAGAGGUGAAAUUCGUAGAUAUUCGGAAGAACACCAGUGGCGAAGGCGGCUCACUGGCCCGGUACUGACGCUGAUGUGCGAAAGCGUGGGGAGCAAACAGG
rnacentral:rRNA from 1 species